rnacentral:rRNA from 1 species
CCUACGGGAGGCAGCAGUGGGGAAUUUUGGACAAUGGGCGAAAGCCUGAUCCAGCAAUGCCGCGUGUGUGAUGAAGGCCUUCGGGUUGUAAAGCACUUUUGGCGGGAACGAAAAGGACUGUGCCAAUACCACGGUUCGAUGACGGUACCCGCAGAAUAAGCACCGGCUAACUACGUGCCAGCAGCCGCGGUAAUACGUAGGGUGCAAGCGUUAAUCGGAAUUACUGGGCGUAAAGCGUGCGCAGGCGGUUUUGCAAGACCGAUGUGAAAUCCCCGGGCUUAACCUGGGAACUGCAUUGGUGACUGCAAGGCUAGAGUGUGUCAGAGGGAGGUGGAAUUCCGCGUGUAGCAGUGAAAUGCGUAGAUAUGCGGAGGAACACCGAUGGCGAAGGCAGCCUCCUGGGAUAACACUGACGCUCAUGCACGAAAGCGUGGGGAGCAAACAGGAUUAGAUACCCUAGUAGUC